AAUACAAUUAUAAAAGUUUCUUUUUACUUAUGUAUAUGUGUGUAUACAUGUAUGUAUAUUUUUAUCAUAUAUACAGGAGGGUGUAGGAAGCAUAACUCUUGGCACAGUAGUCACAACCCCACCCAAAAACUAUAUAUUCGGAAUCCUGAG
rnacentral:ribozyme from 12 species